ACUCAAAUGAAUAGACGGGGGCCCGCACAAGCAGCGGAGCGUGUGGUUUAAUUCGACGCAACGCGAAGAACCUUACCCAGAUUGGACAUGCCGCUGCAGGCGUCGGAAACGGCGCGGCCUUCGAGGGUGCGGCACAGGUGCUGCAUGGCUGUCGUCAGUUCGUGUCGUGAGAUGUUGGGUUCAGUCCCGCAACGAGCGCAACCCCCACGGCUAGUUAUUUGUGUCUAGCCGAACCGCCCACUUGGGAGGAAGGUGGGGAUGAUGUCAAGUCCGCAUGGCCCUUACGUCUGGGGCAACACACACGCUACAAUGCCGCCGACAAUGCGCUGCCAGUGGGUAACCACGCGCGAAUCGGCAAACGGCGGCCAAGUGCAGAUUGGGGGCUGCAACUCGCCCCCAUGAAGGCGGAGUUGCUAGUAACCGCGCAUCAGCGAUGGUGCGGUGAAUACGUACCCGGGCCUUGUACACACCGCCCGU
rnacentral:rRNA from 1 species